UGAAUAAGAACCUAUAGGGUGGCUAAAUCAGCCAAUACAUGACCUAUAUCCAACUCGUUCUAAGCCCGUUUUGGCCCGUCCAAAUGUAAUCCAGCACGCCCAUUUGACACACUUGAUGAAUUAUCUCGAAAAUGUUGAUUUCACAGCCCUAGUGAAAUCCUUAAAGAAUGCACCAAUUGCUUCAUACUCUGCAAGAGCUCUAACAUCAGAAUUACACCGUAACAAUUGAGGAAAAAAUAGCCACAAACCCGUGAUCAUAACGAAUCCAACGGUCAAGAUUGUCCCGAUUAUCCGUGGGAGCUUAAAUCUACCGUUCAUCACCUUCUUAGCAUAAAUCUCUAGGUUCAAACAAACCCCAUGUAGCAAAAAGAACCAAGUGAUCUCCCAAGUGGGCUUAACCCGGCCCAAAUAGUAAAAUAUCAGCUCAUGCAUAAGGCCCGAAACAACAAAUGUAGCCAUCACCGCGGGAAUUGGGGCCCACUUUCGGCCCAAAAUAUUCGCGGAGAGGCUUAGAACGGGCUUAUAUAUAGUGGGCCUAAGGAUACGAGUGACAAUGAGAUUCCAACGCCGGCCCCAAAAAUCUUGUAGUGAAG
rnacentral:misc_RNA from 1 species